rnacentral:rRNA from 1 species
UACGGGGGGAGCAAGCGUUGUUCGGAUUUACUGGGCGUAAAGGGCUCGUAGGUGGCCAACUAAGUCAGACGUGAAAUCCCUCGGCUUAACCGGGGGAACUGCAUCUGAUACUGGAUGGCUUGAGUUUGGGAGAGGGAUGCGGAAUUCCAGGUGUAGCGGUGAAAUGCGCAGAUAUCGGGAAGAACACCCGUGGCGAAGGCGGUUCUCUGGGGACGGUACUGACGCUGAGACGCGAAAGCGUGGGGAGCGAACAGG